GCGGGACACGUGGUAUCCUGUCUGAAUAUGGGGGGACCAUCCUCCAAGGCUAAAUACUCCUGACUGACCGAUAGUGAACCAGUACCGUGAGGGAAAGGCGAAAAGAACCCCGGCGAGGGGAGUGAAAAAGAACCUGAAACCGUGUACGUACAAGCAGUGGGAGCACCCUUUGGGGUGUGACUGCGUACCUUUUGUAUAAUGGGUCAGCGACUUAUAUUCUGUAGCAAGGUUAACCGAAUAGGGGAGCCGGAGGGAAACCGAGUCUUAAUUGGGCGUUAAGUUGCAGGGUAUAGACCCGAAACCCGGUGAUCUAGCCAUGGGCAGGUUGAAGGUUGGGUAACACUAACUGGAGGACCGAACCGACUAAUGUUGAAAAAUUAGCGGAUGACCUGUGGCUGGGGGUGAAAGGCCAAUCAAACCGGGAGAUAGCUGGUUCUCCCCGAAAGCUAUUUAGGUAGCGCCUCGUGAAUUCAUCUCCGGGGGUAGAGCACUGUUUCGGCUAGGGGGCCAUCCCGGCUUACCAACCCGAUGCAAACUGCGAAUACCGGAGAAUGUUAUCACGGGAGACACACGGCGGGUGCUAACGUCCGUCGUGAAGAGGGAAACAACCCAGACCGCCAGCUAAGGUCCCAAAGUCAUGGUUAAGUGGGAAACGAUGUGGGAAGGCCCAGACAGCCAGGAUGUUGGCUUAGAAGCAGCCAUCAUUUAAAGAAAGCGUAAUAGCUCACUGGUCGAGUCGGCCUGCGCGGAAGAUGUAACGGGGCUAAACCAUG
rnacentral:rRNA from 1 species